ACCAAGUCGACGAUCAGUAGCCGACCUGAGAGGGUGAUCGGCCACAUUGGAACUGAGACACGGUCCAGACUCCUGCGGGAGGCAGCAGUGGGGAAUAUUGCACAAUGGGGGAAACCCUGAUGCAGCAACGCCGCGUGAAGGAAGAAGUAUUUCGGUAUGUAAACUUCUAUCAGCAGGGAAGAAUAAAGUGACGGUACCUGACUAAGAAGAACCGGCUAAAUAC
rnacentral:rRNA from 1 species